rnacentral:rRNA from 1 species
CCUACGGGAGGCAGCAGUGAGGAAUAUUGGUCAAUGGGCGCGAGCCUGAACCAGCCAAGUCGCGUGAGGGAUGAAGGUUCUAUGGAUCGUAACCUCUUUUAUAAGGGAAUAAAGUGUGGGACGUGUCCUAUUUUGUAUGUACCUUAUGAAUAAGGAUCGGCUAACUCCGUGCCAGCAGCCGCGGUAAUACGGAGGAUCCGAGCGUUAUCCGGAUUUAUUGGGUUUACAGGGUGCGUAGGCGGCCUUUUAAGUCAGCGGUGAAAGUCUGUGGCGCAACCAUAGAAUUGCCGGUUAAACUGGGGGGAUUGAGGAUGUUUGAGGCAGGCGGAAUGCGUGGUGUAGCGGUGAAAUGCUUAGAUAGCACGCAGAACCCCGAUUGCGAAGGCAGCCUGCCAAGCCAUGACUGACGCUGAUGCACGAAAGCGUGGGGAUCAAACAGGAUUAGAUACCCGAGUAGUC